UUUUAACGCUCUUGUUAAGUGAUAUUAAUCAAAAUACGUAAGUGUGACGGAUUAUAUAUAUUAUAAUUCAUGGAGCAUAAACAAAAAGUCAGUUUGUUUUUUUCAUCCAUUACAGUAGGGAAAUUUAGGAAAUUGAUGUCCUGUCCCAUGGAUAAAUCGGUAUCAGACAAACCUUUUUCUUAAAACACACAUACACACACGCACACACAAACACACGAAGACCAUUCUGGCAAAUGCAUAUUCAGUUUGCCAUGGCGUGGCAAGCAGACUAGAGAGGCACUGUGGCCCCCUGCUUAAUUUUGGCCCCUAAAAUGCCAUUGCCUAGUCACUGGUUGCUCUUUACAGAUGUGCCUAUAUAAAAUCCUGGAUUGACAACUGCAACAUCCAUUCACUGUAUCCAUGGUGAAUAUAUAAUUC